UGUAAACAUCUCAACUGGAAGCUGUGACGUCAGUAAAGGCUUUCAGUUAGGUGUUCACGUC
rnacentral:pre_miRNA from 1 species